rnacentral:rRNA from 1 species
UACGGAGGGUGCAAGCGUUACUCGGAAUUACUGGGCGUAAAGCGCGCGCAGGUGGCUGGGUCAGUCGGUUGUGAAAGCCCUGGGCUUAACCUAGGAAUUGCAGUCGAUACUACUCAGCUAGAGUAUGGGAGAGGGUAGUGGAAUUCCCGGUGUAGCGGUGAAAUGCGUAGAUAUCGGGAGGAACAUCAGUGGCGAAGGCGGCGGCCUGGCCCAAUACUGACACUCAGGUGCGACAGCGUGGGGAGCAAACAGG